GAUGAACGCUGGCGGCGUGCUUAACACAUGCAAGUCGAACGGAAAGGCUCCUGCUUGCAGGGGUACUCGAGUGGCGAACGGGUGAGUAACACGUGGGUGAUCUGCCCUGCACUUCGGGAUAAGCCUGGGAAACUGGGUCUAAUACCGGAUAGGACCACAUUUUGGAUGGUGUGGUGGAAAGUUUUUCGGUGUGGGAUGAGCUCGCGGCCUAUCAGCUUGUUGGUGGGGUAAUGGCCUACCAAGGCGUCGACGGGUAGCCGGCCCGAGAGGGUGUACGGCCACAUUGGGACUGAGAUACGGCCCAGACUCCUACGGGAGGCAGCAGUGGGGAAUAUUGCACAAUGGGCGCAAGCCUGAUGCAGCGACGCCGCGUGGGGGAUGACGGCCUUCGGGUUGUAAACUCCUUUCGCUAGGGACGAAGCGCAAGUGGCGGUACCUGGAGAAGAAGCACCGGCUAACUACGUG
rnacentral:rRNA from 1 species